GACGAACGCUGGCGGCGUGCUUAACACAUGCAAGUCGAACGGAAAGGCCCUGAUUUUGUGGGGUGCUCGAGUGGCGAACGGGUGAGUAACACGUGAGUAACCUGCCCUUGACUUUGGGAUAACUUCAGGAAACUGGGGCUAAUACCGGAUAGGAGCUCCUGCAGCAUGGUGGGGGUUGGAAAGUUUCGGCGGUUGGGGAUGGACUCGCGGCUUACCAGCUUGCUGGUGGGGUAGUGGCUUACCAAGGCUUUGACGGGUAGCCGGCCUGAGAGGGGAGCCGGCCACAUUAGGACUGAGAUACGGCCCAGACUCCAACGGGAGGCAGCAGUGGGGAGUAUUGCACAGUGGGCGGAAGCCUGAUGCAGCAACGCCGCGGGCGGGAUGACGGCCUUCGGGUUAUAAACCGCUUUCGCCUGUGACGAAGCGUGAGUGACGGUAAUGGGUAAAGAAGCACCGGCUAACUACGUG
rnacentral:rRNA from 1 species